AUGGUUUCUUGGUCUGAGCCUUCCGACUGUUCCGACUCUUCCUCUGACGAUGUGAGCCGGGUACCUGCCAAAAUGGAGUGCACGGAAUGGAGCGGCAUUGCUUUGAAUCAUCCUGCACGUUGUGAGCAUCGUGCGCCCUGUGAGAAGUUUGUUGCCUUUGAAUGGACUGACAGUGGCAGGAGGUUCCUGGGGUGUGGGAAAAAGGAUGUACCCAAGUGCAACUUUGUGGACUGGAUUGACCCAGAGUGGCCAGUCCAAUUGAAGCAAGCUUUAAAUACCAUCUGGACUAUGCAUGAGGAGGAGUUGACCAAUAGGUUGAGGCAGAAUGUUGUUAAUGCUGAAGAAGUAGUGAAGGUAAUGGAAGAGAAGAGGAAGAUGGAAAAUGACCUGAGGUUUUUUAAAGUUGACUUUGCCAAAAUGGUGGCUGACAAGGAGGAUGCAAUUACCCAGUUAGGCAAUGCAAGGUUGGUUAUUAGUGACCUGAAGGAACAAAUCGAGAGAAAGAACUUGGCUGACAAAUCAGACACUAACAUUCAUCAAGUGCUGAGGGCCAAAGCAGAGGAAGAGAGAGACCAAGAGAAGGAAGAGAAGGUGAAGCUUGUGCAGGAGAUGGACAAGAUCAAGUAG
rnacentral:rRNA from 1 species